GGGGCUGUAAAGGUUUCGACGGGGAUUUUGAGGUAUGAUAAGCGGGUAGAGCCGAGUAAUCUCUUAAACUGCUCAAACUUAAAAAAUAAACGACAACAGAACUGUUGCUAUGGCUGCCUAAUCAUCGCUCCCUCGGGAGCUGAUGAUGGCAGUGCUGCGGUCUGCGGACCGCCCGUUCCUCUCGGCAGGACCACGAGCCGAGACUGAGCGUCAUUUGAGUGGUGAACUUGCAUCGGUGGUUUACCGUUGAUCCGAUCAUGAACAAAACGGUUGCCCUCAUACACAGCCUGAUCACCGGCGGUUUAUGGGAAAAGACUAAAAGAUGAUCUGCACCCGGAGAAAGUUGUAUCAAGAGGUUUUCGGACAGGGGUUCAAUUCCCCUCAGCUCCACCA
rnacentral:tmRNA from 1 species